GACGAACGCUGGCGGCGCGCUUAACACAUGCAAGUCGAACGGAAAGGCCUGCUUUCCCUUGUGGAUUGCGGGUACUCGAGUGGCGAACGGGUGAGUAACACGUGAGUGAUCUGCCCCCAACUUGGGUAUAAGCCUGGGAAACUGGGUCUAAUUCCCGAUAGGACUGCAGGGUGGUGCCUGUGGUGGAAAACGAUUUUCUAGUGGUUGGGGAUGAGCUCGCGGCCUAUCAGCUUGUUGGUGGGGUAAUGGCCUACCAAGGCGGCGACGGGUAGCCGGCCUGGGAGGGUGGGCGGGCACAUUGGGACUGAGAUACGGCCCAGACUCCUACGGGAGGCAGCAGUGGGGAAUAUUGCACAAUGGGCGGAAGCCUGAUGCAGCGACGCCGCGUGGGGGAUGACGGCCUUGGGGUUGUAAACUCCUUGCGACCGCGAGGAAGCCACCUGGUUGGAAGGGUGGUGACGGUAGUGGUAGAAGAAGCACCGGCUAACUACGUG
rnacentral:rRNA from 1 species